CAGAACCAGGUGUUAGUCUGAUCCAUCAGGUAGGAGAUACUGGAGAAAGAAGCUGGUUUGAGAGUAGCAUCAUCAACAUCUGAUCUGAGAUCCAGGACCAGGAAGCUGCUGGUUCUGAUCCAGAUAAACUCACUCACCUGGAAGAGGGGCUAGGCUCAACUUGAAGGCACCAUGUUAUUCAGGACCAAAGACACGUCUCCGUCUUUCAUCUGCCGGUCGCGUAGAUCCACUCGGUUCUCGUACAUUUGGUGCUGGUGUUCCGGAUCCAACUUGCCAUCCCGAAAUAAAAGGACAAAUUCAUCCUCCAAAUCAGUUCUGCUCCACUCUACGACGGCGGCAGCUGAAGGCAGAGAGGAGGUGGCAUUCUGGGAGGGUGGCACCUAUGAGGGGGUGUCAGGAUGGACUGUGGUGACCUGGAGACCCCAAGUUCCCCCAUCCAGGAGCUCAGUGACCUCAGGUCUACACUACAGGAGAGAGGUUGAAUAGCUAGGCUAUUCGCAUGCUAAGUAGAGUCAUUAACCCUCCAACCCUCACUCAUGGGAUUCCGCAAUCGACAGUUUUUGACUCCCGCGAGUGACAAUGUGCUGUGCUGCCAUCUGUCGGUUACUGUCCAUAACUGCGUUCGCGUCAGUGUACAGGGUCAAAAACGCCACUUUUCCUGCAGUGCAAUAAUCAGUGAUUGAUUUUAAGCUUGGUCAAUUAACCUGAGCUUCCUAUCACAGACUCCACUAAAUGUAUAUGUGGCCAGUAGGGGGGAUUCUUUUAACAAGUUACAUAAAUGCAUCAGAAUACAAACUGAAUUCUACACAAUCUUUUAUUAACAACUUCCUUAAAACAUUUCUAUUUUAAAAAACGUGGCUUCAGGCCUACAUAACUCGGUCCUUGAGAAGAAAAAAGGAAAGUAGUGAGGACA